rnacentral:rRNA from 1 species
CCUACGGGAGGCAGCAGUGGGGAAUAUUGGACAAUGGGGGGAACCCUGAUCCAGCCAUGCCGCGUGUGUGAAGAAGGCCCUCGGGUUGUAAAGCACUUUCAGUGAGGAAGAACGCCUGGUGGUUAAUACCCAUCAGGAAAGACAUCACUCACAGAAGAAGCACCGGCUAACUCCGUGCCAGCAGCCGCGGUAAUACGGAGGGUGCGAGCGUUAAUCGGAAUUACUGGGCGUAAAGCGCGCGUAGGUGGCUUGAUAAGCCGGUUGUGAAAGCCCCGGGCUCAACCUGGGAACGGCAUCCGGAACUGUCAAGCUAGAGUGCAGGAGAGGAAGGUAGAAUUCCCGGUGUAGCGGUGAAAUGCGUAGAGAUCGGGAGGAAUACCAGUGGCGAAGGCGGCCUUCUGGACUGACACUGACACUGAGGUGCGAAAGCGUGGGUAGCAAACAGGAUAGAUACCCGUGUAGUC